rnacentral:rRNA from 1 species
CCCUUAGAUGUCCUGGGCUGUACGCGCGCUACACUGGAAGUUACGGAUUGAGAUACUACCUUGUCCGAAAUGGUCCGGGUAAUCACCUAAAAGCUUGUCAUAAUUGGAAUGGAUUAUUGUAACUAGUAAUCCUGAACGAGGAAUUCCUAGUAAGUCCCAGUCAACAGCUGGUACUGAUUACGUCCCUGCCCUUUGUACACACCGCCCGUCGCUACUACUGAUUGGACGUUUAAGCAAGAUUUUUAAACACUGACAGUGUGUAGUUCACGCUAUACUACAGUGAGAAGAAGAAGAUCGAGCUUACUUGUCUAGAGGAAGUAAAAGUCGUAACA